UUGGAGGGCAAGUCUGGUGCCAGCAGCCGCGGUAAUUCCAGCUCCAAUAGCGUAUAUUAAAGUUGUUGCAGUUAAAAAGCUCGUAGUUGAAUUUCGGGGUUUAUCCGUUGGUCGGGCUUUUGGGUCUGUACUGGCGUGAUGAAUUCCUACCUUCUGAAUAACCAGCAUGUCAUUAAUUUGGUGCGCCGGGGAAGCAGGACUGUUACCUUGAAAAAAUUAGAGUGCUUAAAGCAGGUUAUUGCCUGAAUACAUUAGCAUGGAAUAAUGAAAUAGGACGGCAUGGUUCUAUUUUGUUGGUUUCUAGGAUCACCGUAAUGAUUAAUAGGGAUAGUUGGGGGCAUUAGUAUUCAAUUGUCAGAGGUGAAAUUCUUGGAUUUAUUGAAGACUAACUACUGCGAAAGCAUUUGCCAAGGAUGUUUUCAUUAAUCAAGAACGAAAGUUAGGGGAUCGAAGACGAUCAGAUACCGUCGUAGUCUUAACCAUAAACUAUGCCGACUAGGGAUCGGAUGAUGUUAAUUUUUUAAUGACUCAUUCGGCGCCUUACGGGAAAC
rnacentral:rRNA from 1 species